GGGGUUGUGGCUCAGAGGUAGAGCGCUCACCUAGCAUGUGAGAGCCACUGGGUUUGAUCCUCAGCAACACAU
rnacentral:tRNA from 1 species